AAUGAGUGGCGCGACGCACAUAGGUUCGCGUUGCCAGUCACCGACGGAGCUUGAUCGUCUACGUGCCUCUUUAAAUCAGCAAGUUUACAGUUGUGAUCGAGAACAUUUUUCCAAUCACAAUCGAAUAUCUUCCGAUGCUCCCUACACCGUCUCAAAAAUGAUAUUUUAACAUUUGUGUAAAACUUAAAUUCAACGUAAAUUCUGUUAGCAACGUUGAAUAUGUCUAAAAUCGCUCUGAAACUAUAUCGAUCCAAUGUUCGGGUGAAGUGAAUACGAACGUGUAGCUGUGUAGAAUUGUGUAGCGUCGUCGCGUCAUUCCGCGCCACUCGCCGAUUUGUUUUGACAUGUGUGUGUUCUGCCAUAUUGGAUUAACACGUCGUGUAUUAAGGGCUAAAUAAGCGCGAGUUUCGCGCUAAAAAGAGCAAUACUUUUUCGGGGCAACAAUGGAUCGUACAACGAGAAUCGCGUGGAUCAUUUAAGGUCGGGGGCGAUCAAUGCCCGAUGGCGUGGACUGGAACGCAACGUUGGAGAAAUCCUGCUCCAGAAGGUGACGAUGUACAACGAUCGAUCGAGCUGCUGGACAAAGUGCUCUCAGAGUACGACGAGCACGAAGCAGAGGGCGAAGGUGGUGGAGGCGUCGGCGUCGGCGUCGGCAGUGGCGGUGGCGGCGGCGGUGACGGUAGUGGAGGUGGGAGCGGCGGAGGUGUUGGGGAUUGUGGCAGCAGCACCGAACCAAGUAUUGGUCUCACACCUGACGACGAAAGUCCGUCCUUAGGACAUCAAUCCGAGGACGACGGUUACAUGAGUAUGAAUGGACGGAAAGCGAAGAUGGCUCUGGUAGCACUGCGUCCGGUUCCAGAUUGUCCAGAGCCACAGGAUCUAGCGGGUAUAUCUACCCAAGAAUUUCCACCACCGCCUGAAGAAGCCGAACGAAUCAUCUCUACUUUGUUGCCCAUGGUAUCGCCUGGAAAUUCUUCAAAACGAAACGGCCAUCCAUCAACUCGUCGAAGCGGACGACAACAGUGGAUGAUAGCUAUGGAGGAUAGUAUACGACACGGAAAUGGUACUGUUACUACUCAAACAACUCUCCCAAAAACUCGACACCAGAGACCAUACGGAUGGGAAAAUGGUAACGGUGAGGCAUUAAAAUUGGCUCAACCUCCAAGUCCACCAAGCAAAUUCGCCAGCUUACCAUACGAUGGUAAAGUGUCGUUCGGUUGGAUCCCGCCUCGAACCAAUCCAACGACCGUAGAGAAGCAUCGAGAGGUCAGACGUCGAUCUUCCGAGGAGGAGGGACUAGAGGGGAGUAACAAAAACCAUCGACAAAAUUUCGACAAGGAUCGAACGUCGCAUUUGCGAAAGCAACGUCAAAGCAAUGAGAUUAUGAAAUCGAGCAGUGUCGAGGAUCGGUUGUUGAUGAAUCACGAGCAAUCGGAACAAAACGGGCGUAGAAGGAACGAUUCCGACUCGAGCGAAGGAAGAUUCUCGAGAAACUCGGAAUCGGAGAGAUCCUCGAUCCCGCGCUCGAGUUCGGUCAGCGUGGAAAGAUUUUCCAUGAGAGCGACUUGCGGAUCGUCCGACUUUUCAAGGGCGAACUCGAUCUCGAACGAAAGAUUCCAUUCGUCAGAUUUCUCGAUAGCCGUGGCCAGUGCCAGCUCGAACGAUCGCGUUUCCGUGCCGACGUCCGAACCUUUUUCAAUUCGAAACCUCGACUUCGUUUCGUUUUCUUUACCGACGAGGACCGAUUCUAACGAAAGAUUCUCGGCCCCAACCUCGGACAGAUGUUCCGAAGAGCGUUAUUCCGACAUGUUCUCGACCAGAAACUCGGAUUUCUCGACCAGAAACUCGACGGAUUUUAGAACUCAAUCCGAGGAGGAACGGUUUUCAGACGAUUCGUUGGAAGAACUUUUACCUCCUCCUCCGCCGAUCAGCAAGAGGCAUUCCAUCGCUUGGGAAGUGCCUCUGGAGGAUGAUCCUUUGUACGCUCCAGGAAGUACCAAGGUGAUCGGUAGGAGACGACGUAAGAGCAGCGACGUGUCCAGUGUUGGAUCAGCAUCCAAACUUCGCGAUUUCGACGAUUGGCAAGAUCCACGAUUAUCGACUACCGACGACGAUUUAAUCUCCCCGUAUUCGGAUUCUUCGACAAACGAACUUGACCAGAUACGGCCGCAAGAUUUAACGAAAAAUGGCACCUAUGUGAUACGCCGUGGUCGAAAAAAGGAACGUAAAGGAUUGCCGAAAGCUCCUACCAAAACUAAAAGUUUAUCCUUCGAGAACAGCGAGGAAAAUCCAUUGUCAAACGUGAAACGAUACUCGAGCACCUUCGAUAACAUCAGAAGUCUUUUAAGGGAAAAUAAAAUGGAUGAACCGAUAGACGAUCCGCCAAUAGAAUUUGUUGCGCCAUCUUCUGUCCCCCCAGAUUUGGUCAGAGUGGUCUCACUUCCGGCGAUUAACGAUGAAACCGACAAUUGGCCACGGGAAUUGGAAGUCACGGUCGAAGAGGAAGAAAGUUCAGAUCUGUCGGACAAAGAUAAGAAGAAUCGAGAAAUGUAUGAAUUGAUCCAAUUGUCAUCCUCACUAUCAUCGAAUGACAAGGCUGAGAAAGGUCGAGUGGCCGAUCUGGCCGAAUCAUUGAAUCAAGAAAAUAACGAGUCAAAUAACACGUGUAACGGAGUUACUUUUUCGACUUCUAACAGUUAUUCCAAGGGAUUUAGCCUGGCUGUAACGCCACCUAGCGGGAACGCGUUCAUCGAGGAAUCGAGCAGAAAAUCGCCUAAUUCCAGCCUUGGUAAUGAAAAUCGGUUAGCGUCCAAGAUUCCGGUGAAUUUAUUGAUCGAAGAUCAAAUUGUAAAAAAAGCUUUAAAGGAAAAUCGACGACAACUAGAGAAAGUCAGCGACGCUAUAAAAGAGAUUGAGAGCGUGAAGAAUAGCGAAUCUUAUUCGGAGAAUAAACAACGAUGGAUCCGUAGCGGAGAUGCGAAGCAACCAUUGACGAGAAAAACUAGUCUCGAUAGCGAAUCCAACGAACGUGUCACAGGAGACGCUAGAGCGAAAAAACAGCUUGAUUCAGAUCUUGAUUCAGAUUCGGCGUCUAAGACCAGUCCAGAAACGACAGAUAUCGAGGGAAGGAGAAUAAACGGUACAGAUAUUUAUGCAUCGGGGAAAAGAUUGCGACAGAAUGGUGUCGUUGAUGAUCAUAAGAACGAUCAAAAGCAAAUUGAAAAUGUAAUCGACGCCAUUCUCGAGGAUUCCAAAAAUCCAGAUUUUCAGGUAAGUGUAGAAGUUCUCGAAUUUCCUCCGUUACCACCUUCCCCUGUAGAAGAAGCAGAUGAGGAAAGCUCGGACAUCGGUCAGAGUGCCAUGAUCGUUUCGAAACCAAAAAGUCAUAGCAAUCGAACCAUGGAGUACAGACCUAGAGUGCCACCUCAUCGUGGCCCUGUCACCAAUCACUCGUUCUCAGAUUCGAAAGAUCAACAGAUAUCUCUCAAUACUAGAUCCAUGGACGCUGGAUUCUCUCGGGGUAAAAGAACACCUACUGCCACUACUUCCAGACGAGAGCAAAUACCAGUAGAACGAAGAACUUUGCCUACGGAUUUACCAGGACCAUCGCGACGACGGCCUUUUACAAAGAAACAUUCACCAUCUGCAGAACCAUGCUCAUCCGUUGGGAACGGCAAUUGCAGUGGUAAUACCGUCACAAACGGAGUUAACAGCGGAGCUUGUAGUAGUGCUAGCGGUGGAACCAGUAGUAAUAUAGCAACCAGUACCAGUGGGAUGCAAACUUCCUGUUCGCUUCCGGAAACUCCUGUUUUUGCUAGAGGAAGCGAUAUUCCUAGAACUCCUCAGCAUGCCAGCAAUCCUACGCAAAUGCGUCGGCAACCUGGUUGGUAUGCCCCAACCUCGGCUACCACCGGGUAUCGCAGGAAUAAUCCGGGUCUGGAACAAGCGAUAAUCGGGACAGAAUUAUUGCGAUUAGCCGGUGGCCCGAAUCGAGGAUGGUAUCCAACAAGGAAGGCGAACCAACCACGACCAGCUUCGAUAGAGCAUCUCGAACGACUGAACAAUGCAUACGAUCCACGCUUGGCAGGUUCCGGAGACCAGAGGAAACCAUUGACUCUACCAACAAACAUCACACCGAACAAAUACUUCGGCCAAAGUAAGCACAGCUCCGCCUCCAGUACUCGCGAGGCGCUACGGAGGGUCACUAGCUUGCUCAUCAAGAAAGGAAGUGGAAGCAAAGAUGGAAAAGGUGGGAAGGAUAAUGCAUCACCGUGUGGUCCUUAUGCAGUUAUCAUUUGAUCAAAAGAGGGGGAGGCUAUCCGUCGUCAAUCGUCAGCCGGCUUUUUAACGUCCGUCGAUUCGAAGGAAAGGCCGGAAAGACCGUUGAUUAUUAUGCAGGCGACAGACAAUUGCCAACGCUUCCCCUAUUAACAUAUAGUGAGAGUAAAAACGUGGCUGAAAUAUACGAUGCUGUUUGCGGCUGAGUGCGGGGACGCGCCUAAAAAGAAAGGAUUCUUCAAAGGUUUCUGGAAGAGGUCGCGUCAUUAUUCAUUGGAGAACCAAUAGCCCAGGUUAGGCAGUAGGGUGAUGGGCCACCAGCAACGGCAGACAUCGCGGCAACAACACCAUUAUCGACAACACGUCGCUACAAGCGCUUUGACGCACAGUGCUUGUUGCUGCAUCGUCCAAUAGCCUCGGUCCCGUUUCGUGGUAGAACCAGCGACAAGGUUCGCGUUCUUUCGUCCAUUUCAUCGAGCUUUUAUUCCGCCCGAUCAGUGGUCUCCGAAUACAACAACAAGCUACGUCAAUCCGUGGGUAAAAUCUUUUUGCGUAUCUUUUUUGUUUCUCGAUUCUUUUCCUCCUCUCCUCCAUCUUUCUCCCAUAACCUCUUCUCUCUAUUUCGUUCUAUUUUUUUUUUCAUUCACUCUCAUUUCUCAUUACAUUUCGUUACACAUUCGCGAUACAAGUAUUAUGUGUAUAUUAUAUAUUGUUCAACUCCUUUCGCACAACAACUCGUUUCAGCAUUUUACCUUAAAGCAUGAAACAGAAUAGAGAGGCGAUAACGUAAAGUGCUGCGCGAAUCGUGUCGAUUUUAUCUCCAUCUGGCGUUCGAAUCAAGUAUCAUUUUUCGAUAUUGUUCGAUUAAAUCGCAUCAACUUAAACAAAUGUUACAUAUAUAUAUAUUUACUUUUAUUCGAAAGAUUUGAAUAUUUUCAAGUUUGUUCCUUUAUUUUUUUCAAUUACUUUUUCUUUCUUUCUCUCUCUCUCUCUCUCUCAACGCGAACCGAAAGUGUUGAAAACGGACACGACAUCCAUAGCGAUUUCUCGCAAUAACCGUAGGCUUCGCUUUCGAGAUGCGCACGCGCGCCCUCUUCCGUAUCUCGAGCGGUAAAAGUUGGAUAAUUUUCGGAACGAGAGGUAAUCGCAAGCUUGUAUGGCUUUACCAAUUGCUAGAUCGAUUUCGAUUGAACGGAACGAUUUUACUUUACAGAGGUAACCGCCGAUUAAGUCGUAAUAAUCUCAUCGGGGUGGAAGGUUAGAUCAAUCGUUUGGAACGGGCAGCUGUUUGAUUAGCAAUGCCAAAAAUACAGUAGUCGGCUUUCUAAUUGACGCAACGACGAUCGACGAUCAUCGUGGUUAGUCAUCCGGUCGACGAUGAAGUCGCGACCGAUCGCGAGCAUCGGUCACCUAGGCGUUUCUUUUCCAUCAUCUUCCUUGUGUAUCCAACGCGCGAGCACGUUUAUAGAAAGUGAGUAAUUAAAUUAAUUAAGUUAUCCAGUAUUCGAGUGUGUACACGAAUAUUCAAAUACACGUGUUAGACUGCGUUAGAUUAUGGCACAAGCAAUAAGGGGGGAAAGAGGAGAGCGUACGAAACGAACAAAAUCGUAACACGAAUACCAACGUAGAGGAAAAAAAUUAAAUUGUACUACAUAUUUAUUAUUAUUAUUAUUAUAAAGAAUUUGUAAUUAUACGAAUGAAAUAUUUCUUCUGAGCUUCGAACGUUACCAUUUAAAUAUUAUUUUUAUUACAUCAUUGCUCGUAUCAUUAUCACCAUUAUCAUUACCAUUAAUGCAAUAUCAACUUGUUAUUGCUCUUCUCAUUAUUUUUCUUUUUUUUUUUUGUUAAUAUCUAUAAUAUAUUUAUUGUUAUCUUACUAUAUUAUCACCUAAUGUCGUCAUUAUUGCUGUCUUUCUCAUCCUUAUUUAUUUACUAUUUUUACCAUCAUGAUUGAUAUACUAAUAUUUUUAUCAGAAUAAUCACUGUGACUAGCCUUUGUAUUUUUCUUCUUCUUUUUUUUUUAAUUUCGUUUAUACUAUUAUUAUUGCUGCUAUUUAUUAUUAUCAUUAUGAUAAAUUUGUUGUUAUGAUUGUUGUUACUGUCAUUGUUAAUUCUUUAAUGCUAGCACCAAAAUACUUAAUUGUAUGCAUGCAAAAAAAAACAUUGAAACACGCAGUGAGAUGCGGACAUUAUUUUUAUAAAAUGCUAUUAUAUCAUAUUAACGAUUGAAUUAUUUAUUUUUUUUUUUUCGCUCGCUUACUUAUCCACUUAUUAUUAUCUAUAAUUUUCUAUUCGAUAUGUUAUAUAUAUCGAAGAGAAAAAGAGGCAAGAUAUAUUAUAGCCGGUAAUGUAACAAAUGGUGACGAUAAUAACGAUAACACUUUUUAAAUUACAUUUAAUACAAGUUUGAAAAUCGAUAAUUAUAACACAUUCGUUCUCCUCUCUGAUAUUUAACCAAGUCGAAAGGAAAAAAUCGAAUGAAAGAUCGCCAAAGAUUGUCUCGUAGUAAAAACUCGCGCCGAUGAUAUAAAAAUCGUUUCUUUGUUCGAUCGAUUUCUGUGUACAAAUAACCGAACCAAUAUCUUCUUCCUUUCCCUUUUCCUAUACAUUUCCUUUUCCUUUUCUUUUAAGUGCCAAUUAAUGACGCAUAAAUUCGUUCUCGUCGUCGUCGUCAUCGUCGUCGUUGUCGUCAUCGUUCUUAUUUCUCGAAACAAUAUUUUUCAAACGGAAAUUCAUUAAAUUCAUCCGCAAAAAAAUUCUAUUAGCAUUAUUUUACACAUAUUGUUUUCACACAAUAUAUAUAUAUAUAUAUAUAUAUAUAUAGGUAUUUAUUAUAACACAUUUACGAAAGCGAUGACGUGAAUGUGCUUUGAUAAAGGGCUCUAUUGUAAUAACUUAGAAGAGGAAAGAAGAAAUAAGAAAGAAGAAAAGGAAAGAAAAAAAAAGAAAAUGGCGGAAGCUAUUUCUAAUCGUAAUGUAGGUUAUGAUAUUUCUUUUCAUUUCCUACGCGAAUAUAUUUAUUUAUUUUAAAUAUAAUACGCGGUCUUUGCUACAAUUGUAUGUACAAUGAUCCUUGUAAAUAACGAAAUAUCAUAAAUUGUGGGUGGUGGAAAAAAGUGGAGAAAGGACGUGUAAGAAGAUAAAAAGAUAAAACUAUCCCGCGAUCUAUUCGGGAAAGACGAAUAGAUCGCAUGUUGGAAUUUGGACUGUGAGAAUGAUGGGCAUUCGAGAUACAUUUCGGCCGCGUGCUAUUGUUGCUGCUGCUGCUGCUGCUGCUAUUGUUGCUAUUACUAGCAUAACGUUGCUGUUAUUAGCAUAGUUCCAAAGUCGAGAGCACGCUGGCCGCUUUGUCGCAUAUUCGUUGAUGAGAUGUAUGCACGUCUACCUGAUAAGACUUUAACUUUAAUCUUAAUAAAGGUUAACGCUACUUAAACUUAAUGCCAUUUAAAUGGAAACGUUUUAUAAAAAAAAAAAAACAAUUUUUCGCCACAUCGGUAUGCUAAUAAUCAUUUUUGCAUGUAUAAGCGUACGUGCACGUGAUGAACCUACAUGUUCAAUUACUUUUUUGUCACUGCUGUUCUCUCUUAUUGUUAUAUUCAUAUUCAUAUGAUAUCACGAUUUUUUUUCCUCCUCUUCCUUUUUAUUCGCCCGCGUCCCUUUUUUCUCUUUCUCUUUCUUCUCUUUGUCAACGAUUUAAACAAAAAUAUAAACUAUAUUAUUGUUUUCUUUUUGGUAUCGAGAUAUAAUAAUGGAUAGAACCAGGUAUCGUGUAACCGUUAUCGAUAAUAAAUGGGGGAUUCUCUUUGAGAUAAAGAGAAACGGUAUGAAAAAAGCGAAAUAGAUAUGAUAUACUUGAUAAAUCUAAUUAAAUUCAAUGAAAAGUGAACGUUGAAGAAUAAACGAGGCACGAAUGGGAAAGGAUGGGAAUUUUUCUUUCUUCCGAGAAAAAAAAAAAGAAAACGAUUAAAAUUUUUAGAAAAGAAUCGAAACGAAAAUACGAACAAUUUAAUAGAUAGAAUUACGAGUCGAAUACGAAGGAAGAAAUAUAUAUACGAUACUCGCUUGUACACCGCGACAACACAAGAUUAUCGACUUUAUCUUAAUGGUACCAUCUACUUUUUUCAUGUGUUCUAACAUGAUUGUAUCUGACAAAUUCCAUAUACCGAUAUAUACGACGCACAUUUCAAUCAAGUUACCGAACAAGUUAUACGAUAUGAUUCGAUGUUAAUUAUCGCCAUCAUUAACAAUUCAAACAAUUAUUUAAACUAAUCUAAUGAUGUUAAGACCGGUUCGUUGGGCGCAUCAUCGUUUUUCUAGUCUUUGUUCCCUAAAUGAAAGCGAUCUGGGCGAGUAAUAUAAUAAAAUCGGAUAAAAACGGGUCAAAAAGUCGAAAAAAAAACAAACUCGGGUAAAUAUGCUGUAUAGUUAGAUUACGUAAGAAAAGGAAAAGGAUUUAAAGCGAGUUGAUAGAUAGGGGGGGGAAGGGAGGGGGAAAUUUUAGUACAAAUUCAAUAGCUUUAUCGCUUAAGAUGUGGAAAAGAGCAAGAAUAAAAGGUACUAAAAAAAAAAAAGAAAAAAAAAAAAAAAUGGCAAUAAAAAACGUAUAACGCGUGCAACAUACGAAUGCAGGGUUACAAAUACACGAUUAGGAAGUCGUUCGACGAAUUUAAAGCGCUCGACGCCUCGGUACUAAUAUCGGCGACAUUUCGUAUCCCGUGAAUUACAAAAAUCCAAGCCUUUCCUUCGAAUUAUAUACGUAUUAUAUCCGAGAUUCAUCCAUCGUUCGUUUUGUAUCUCAUAUAUAUCUAUGCGCAUUAUAUUUUUUUUCCACUCCGCAAAGGUUUACGCGUCACCGUCUCGAUCUCUAAUAUGCGAAAAGAGAUCUGGGUUAUCGUCUCUAUUAUUUACUCAAAACGAAAAGAUCGAAUAAAUUUCGAGAAUGAUAAAAAGUAGGCUAUAAAUAAGGCGUUGAUCGAUAUAGAAAAUAUAAAAUAUGAUUCGAUCGUGAUUUUCGAUCGCGAUAAGUAGAGGUAAUGUUUUUUAA